GAGAUAUGUGUAAACCCAAAGCAAAAGAAAAGAAAAGAAAAGAACGACGAAAAGGAAGUAGAGAGAACGGGAGAGAGAGAAACGGCGGAGGGAGAGAGGCUUUGGGUCCUUGGGGUCGCCGGAAAAGCUUGGUGGUCGCCGAUCUACGCCCUACGGUGGUCGCCGAUGAGAAGACAAGAAGAGAAGCUCGGCUGUGGCGUUAGGAUUAAAGGUGAAGGAGUGAGGAGGCGUCGGUCCCAGAAGAUAAGAGCGGCAAACAAAUUUUAGGGCUUUAAUCAAACAAGAUCAACGAGCACAACUCAGAAGCUAGACUCAUGGAAAAAGUAAGAAUGGCAGGGAAAACAGCAACAAGUUCAAAGUUCAAACUAAAAAUGGGUAGCAUUUCUUUCCCCUUUUAUUUAGCAUGCUAAUGUUCAAAUAUCUAGAUCUGUACACACAGAUACACAGGACAUGUACACAUCAUUUUUAUUCACAAAAGCAUGCAUUUCUGAACAUAAAAGCUCUUACCUUUCUGUCAGUUUUGCUCAUACAUGCCUGUGCUUGAAUACAUUUUAUUUACACAUGCUCAGAUUCACAUUCAUACAUGAUCACAGGACAUACACACACGACCACACAGCCCAGUAAACUCAUUUUGAAAUGUCCUCAAAACCCAACCCCUGAAAAUACCCACUCGAAACAAAACCCAAAUCAAAACACAAACACCUUUUGGCCAUACCCAAUAAAAAUCCCACCUUUGAAAUCCAAACCCAAAUCUCCAAACACACUGACCAAAAAGAAGAAAAAGAAAACAGAGAGGAAGAGGAGAAGACCACCACCUUUGGACAUGGUGGUUGGCGGUGGAGCUGUGGAGCUUCGGUUUAGAGAGAGAAAAAGAUCCGAGUGAGUUUAGGGUAAGAUCUUGAGAGGAGAGAGCUUCGGCUAAGAGAAAGAGGAGUUGAGGUUUCAGCCAUGAAGGUCCAACCAAGAAGCUUCGGUAGAUUUUGAGAGAAGAGAAGGAUGUGGGAUUAGAGAGAAAGAGGGUGCCAUACUGCCAUGGGACAUGGAUUAGAGAAGAUUAUAUGUUAAUCUGAUGAGGGAGAUUUUAAUUUGAGAAGAUAUAAGAAGAGAUUAAAAGAAAUAAAAUUAAGACUCAAUUAAAUCCAGCCCAACACGCCAACACACUUAAAUAAAUUUAAGCCCAAUCCGUGUGUGUGUAAAGUAGGCCCUAUCCGAAAUUUAUUUAAGCAUGAACACAUAGGCCCAUCAAAUUUCCCCAAGCUUUAGCCCAACACUUGCAAAACCUCAACUUAAGUCCAAACAUUCAGCCCAACCCUUGGGUCCGCAAGCCUCAAACAAAACUUCUGAGAAUUACAAACCAACCCCAAAUCUUUUCAAAAUUACCCUUUUGACCCAUGACUUUUCCAAAACACAACUUUAAUCACAAACUUUUCCAAAUUGCAUUUUAACUCUUCAACUUCACAAAAUUACAUUUUUACCCUAAACUUUAUGAAAUCACAAAAUGGCCCCAAAAUUGCCCAAAAAUUUUACAAAGACCCUUAAGGUCAAGAAAAUAAUAAUAAAAAGAUUUCUUCAAGAUCAAUAAUUUGUCAAAUGACAUUGUUUAUGCAUCUUCUAGAAAUUUAACCUUGGUGUUCCUUGUUAUUUCUUUGUAUCCCCUUUUGCAUGAGAUAAAAAUGCUUUGGAAAAAGGAAGUGCAAGAUUGCACUUGGUAUGCUACAUUAUGGCUAUUCAAUGAGGUUAGUCUCGUUAAAUUUAUCAUUCAAUUUAUUUUCUUAGUAAAUGCCAUGUAAUCACAUGUUUAGCUAUGCUUGUCUUAUCUUGCUUUCCCAAAUAAAUUAUACAUGCCAUGCAUCCAUAUGUCACUUUAGGGUAGAUUAUACAUGUCAUACAUUCACAUGCCAUCUUAUGAUAAAUACAUGCCAUUUCUCACAUGUCAUCUUAGGAUGGAUACAUGCCAUUUUUCACAUGCUAUCUUAGGAUAGAUACAUGUCAUUUCUCACGUGUCAUCUUAGGAUGGAUACAUGCCAUUUUUCACAUGUCAUCUUAGGAUAGAUUAUGCAUGUUAUUUUUACUUGCUUAAUCAUUAUCUUAUUUCACAUGUACAUGCAUAUCAUUCUUUUUUAAACCAAAUGUCAAAUAUUUUAAGUUGUUCUUUAAAUGGUGAGCUAUAAGAUUAAUUCAAAACAAGGUACUAUCCUUUUGAAUAGGCAUUGUGAGGUGUCUAACACCUUCCCCACAUGUAAUUGAGCUUUCGAAUCCAUGUCUUUUGGUUCAAGAUUUUUUUUUUUCUAGUUUAGCUUAGGAACCUUAGAGUUUUCUUCGUUAAAAUUAGGAAAUAAAAAUAAUUAGACUUAGGUGACCAAUCACGUCUUAGAAUUCCAAUGGUUGGUGGCGAUUUCCAAAAAUGAAUAUAAGGAAGUUUAUUUGCACAAACCCCACAUUAGUGUUCUACACGUCACACACAUUGUGCAUUUUGUAGCAAACACAUGUUUCGCCGAGUGAAAAACCCUCAAUGGUUGGGGGAUAAUGUUGAACGUGGGUCAAAAUUCGGGUACGAGUAUGACAGAUGGGUUGUGGUCAUGUCGGAGGGUUUUUUAAUGGUUUUUUUUUUUUUUUUAAUGAGUUGUUGAUAAUUUUUUAAAUGAACUGGUAUUUUUUAGUUGUUGUCGUCAAAGUAAAAAUAGUAUACGGCUUGUGUCUAUUUUUUUUUAUACACUGAAUACGCUAUGAUGUAGAUAUGUGUUUAAAAUGUUUUAGACGUGUUUAAAAUGUUUUGGACAUGUGUUUGAAUUGUAUCGUGUCCAGUGCAAAAAGGCACUGGACACAAGCUAUAUCCUCUGAAAGUUCAGAGCAUGCAUGACGCAUGAUAGAUUUUUACUUUGACAAUUUACAGCAACUGAAAAAUAUCACUUUCAUUUAAAAUAAUAUCAACUCAUUAAAAUGAUAAAAAUAAAAACAACCAUAAAAACACAUUGACGCUGGAACAACAUUUUUUUUUUUUUUUUGAAAAUCCAAAAUCAACAAAUAAUUAAAAAAGUUGUCAGCAAUUGAAAAACACAAAAUAGAUGUUUCUUAAUACAUUGCAAUGCAAUCUAUCAAAAUGGAACUUGGCUAGUGGUCAGUAGCUGUGUACCAUUUUAGUAUUACCACUAUUUAUAUAUAUAUAUAUAUAUAUAUUUGGGCAAUUAUUGGUUUUACAUUACAUUAUCAAUGUAAGAUUUACACUGUAAAUUAAACAAAUUUAUAUAACAUUGUACACAUUUGUUAAAAGUGUACAAUGUUGUACACAUUUUUUUAGUUUACAAUAUAAAAUUAUAAAUCUUCAAGGCUAGGGCCAUAUCCAAUUGAUCGGGUGUAGGCACUACCGGCAGAGGUAGCAAAGGCAGUGCCGGUCCACCACCAUAAACAGUAGCACCACCUACUUCAUAAGCAUCAGUAGCAGGGACGGUUGGCCGAGCUCACUCAGCAGCUUAUGAUCUUGAUCUUUCUGACCUUGAUUCUGUCGAUUCAUAAGCAGUGAAAGGUGCACGAGUAGUUCCAGGUGCAGGAGCAUCGAUAGUAGCACCAUUAGCAACGGCACCGGUGGUAGAGAUAGCGGCAUAGGCAGCGUAUAUUAAUAGUAAAAUAUAAACAAAUAUUUUUCCUUUUCUUUUUCUUUGUCACAUAAAUUUAUGUCUUUUGCAAAA